UCGGCAGCUACGGCUGAAACCAGUGAAUUUAUUUCCAAUUGACUAUUGAUUGAGUUGCAAUCCCACUGAUCUGGAGAGGUUGGCCUGAAAGCACAUGGGUGUUCAGUGCCUGGGUGGGAGACUGCCUGGAAGCUCCAGAGAACCAUUCACAUGUGCAGGCCAGCCUCCACCUCCAAUCUGAAGUAGCGUACUGCAGAUACAGGUUUACCAUCAAGGAGAGCGAGGCCAGAUGUGUUAGAUCUCUUUUACUAAGAAAUUUUCCAGGCCGUUCAGAUGAGUUUUUUGUUUGCUUUCUUGCUGACCACAAUUCUGACAUUACAUAUUAUGUA